rnacentral:rRNA from 1 species
UACGUAGGGGGCAAGCGUUGUCCGGAAUUAUUGGGCGUAAAGCGCGUGUAGGCGGCCAGAUAAGUCCGCUGUGAAAUCUCGAGGCUCAACUUCGAGCUGUCGGUGGAAACUGUCUGGCUAGAGUCCGGAAGAGGCGAGUGGAAUUCCUGGUGUAGCGGUGAAAUGCGCAGAUAUCAGGAAGAACACCAAUGGCGAAAGCAGCUCUCUGGACGGUACUGACGCUGAGACGCGAAAGCGUGGGAGCGAACAGG